UCCUCGGACGCCCCAAAUCCUCAUCUCGCCCAAUCUCGCCGUCGGCGAUCCGGCAACCGCAAACCCUAGCUUGGCCGCCCGCUGAAAGACCGAGCGCCCUCUGCCUCACCACCUCGAGCCUCUCACCGAGAGGGCGGCGGGAACGACGGAGCCGUGCAGUUGUCGGUGCCCAAGUGCGGCGGAGCGGCUGCAGUCCUGCAACGCGCCCUUCCUCGAGUGGCACGCAUGGCUGGCGGCAUGACGCGAACGACGAGCAACGUCUGGUGGAGGAGCUCCAGUAGGAGGUGGUGCACCAGAGCCGAUAGUCGCGUUCUUCUUCGUCGCCAUCCUGUAGUGUAGUGUGGCCCGAAGCAAUGAGAUGCUCAUGCAUGUGCCCAGCAACUAACAUCAGCUAGACUCCUAGGAGGAUGAAAUCAGGUAAUAUGUCAGGCAGGUGGCCCAGCCAUUCAACUUCUUAAAACUGUUUUGUUUUUGGGCAACGGUCGCCUCUGUGUCCACUCAGCAGGGAAUUGCAGUGCAUAUGCAAGUAAACUGUUUCAUAUCUAUCCUGAGUUUCCUGCACUACAUAAUAUAUAUUAUCCAUAUAAUAUAUCUGUAAUAGUACCCUGUCCAAAAUGUUAGUGCUGUUUUUGCAAUUUUGUAAACCAGAUUUGUGGCAAGUGCAGUGCAUAUGGAAGUAAUCUGGGCUGGACUAAUCUUGAAGUCUUCCAUCAAUUUUUAUUACGACAAAAUAUUUGUUCUUAUCACAUAUAUAGUACGCACUGGGCAAUCAUGAUUCAUGGGCAGUUGAUAUAUAUGUUGGUUGAUGAAAAUUACUUUAGGGUAUCCAUUCUGCUAUAUUUUACAUACUGAACAAUUUUUUUGACAUCUGAUCUGGUAGAGAAAACAAGCAUAGAUAUUUUGUGCUUACCUACAGAUAAUUUCAUAUAGAUUACUUAGCAUUCAACAUGAUUUAGUUUCCAGUCCGUAUAGAUUAAUCAUUUUAUGAGCUAACUAGAAUAUUUUAGGAUUUUAUUAUAUUUUCAGUUAUGGUCGUGGACUGUGCACACACUUCACAGAAUGAAAAACUACAUCAAGCAUUACUUUUUACAUGCAUGAAGCAUUUUACAAUAAAUUUCCUAUUAUGGAGAAGUCAUUCAUCAACUAGCUGAAUCAACGAACACUGUAUGGCAAGGCGAACAAGCACACUAAAUAAGACGAGCCAUCGUAAUACCAAGCUAUUUUUACAAAGGCAUUUCACUGUAGGACUAUGUUGUGAUUAGCAUUUUUCUUCAGCUUCAGAUGGUUAUCUUGGAUUGAAACGACACUUUGCAUUUUUUCACCUUUUUGUAUAGUUCUGACGACCAAAUUUAGAAAAUUGAACUGGUGGUGAGUUCAAUCUGCUCUGAAGCUUCUGUAUAAUAUCAUUUUUGUAGGUCGAACAUAAAAGGAUGCACAUUGCUUUUUAAAGGUUGAAUAUAACGUUUCAUGAAUCAACCUUGAGGAGAAUGGAUGAUCGAGUAGCACUCAAGAUGGCAAGGUGGUUGAAAUUUACGUAAUGUUGAAGCUUGAGGACUCAUGAGGUAGUUGUACGUCUACAGUGGUUGAUGAUCGUCUACAGUGGUGUAUGUGAGUACUAAAACCCUUCCGUUCCUCUCCCGACAUAUGCCCCAAACGAUUAGUGGCAGAAGGUAGUUGAGACUACUUUUCUUGAGGCCUGAACCCUCUCCAUGGCCUCCUGCCACAAGACCCUGAGUGAAACAGCAGCUUGGGGGACGACCUCAUUAAGAUAAUAUCCAACUGAAGCA